rnacentral:rRNA from 1 species
UACAGAGGUCUCAAGCGUUGUUCGGAUUCAUUGGGCGUAAAGGGUGCGUAGGCGGCGCGGUAAGUCGGGUGUGAAAUCUCGGAGCUUAACUCUGAAACUGCAUUCGAUACUGCCGUGCUUGAGGACUGGAGAGGAGACUGGAAUUUACGGUGUAGCGGUGAAAUGCGUAGAUAUCGUAAGGAAGACCAGUGGCGAAGGCGGGUCUCUGGACAGUUCCUGACGCUGAUGCACGAAGGCCAGGGGAGCAAACGGG